ACGCUCGACACCUACGGGGGCAGCAGUGGGGAAUAUUGCACAAUGGGGGAAACCCUGAUGCGGCGACGCCGCGUGGAGGAAGAAGGUCCUCGGAUUGUAAACUCCUGUUGUUGGGGAAAAAGAGGAUGGUACCCAACAAGGAAGUGACGGCUAACUACGUGCCAACAGCCGCGGUAAUCUGAGCGGGCUGGCAAGGC
rnacentral:rRNA from 1 species